UUUCUCCUAUCUUCUCUUCUGCCAACGUAACGACUUGAUUUUGGAGAACCCAUAAUGUGCCACAAACAAUGCUCAGUCACCCUCCGUCAAUGUCAGCGUUCAACUUUACUUUUGCAGUAGAAAGUCGGGUAGAAGGGUAUGCAAUUCAUUGUUCCUCCUGAAAAAUAUCAUCGAGCAAAAUAUUAUGCCAUCAUCAAGUAUGAGCAGCUUACUUUUGUGCAUGAGUUGAUAUCUCCAAAACAACUUUCUGAUUUUGUUGAUUCUUGCUUUUGACAUUCCUUGUCGUCCUUUGUCAUCCAGUAUCAACUCAUUCAUAUAUUUUUGCUUAGUGAGUUGAAACAACCCAACUCUCAUGAGAUUUGAAUUGGUGUAGUUGGUAUGAAACUUCGUUUUGGGAUAGAGGAAUUUGCAAUGGUCACUAGUA